CACGCCCUAAACGAUGAUCACUAGAUAUUGGCGACAAACAGUCAGUGUCCAAGCGAAAGUGAUAAGUGAUCCACCUGGGGACUACGGCCGCAAGGUUAAAACUCAAAGGAAUUGACGGGGGCCCGCACAAGCGGAGGAGCAUGUGGUUUAAUUCGAUGGUACGCGAGGAACCUUACCUGGGUUAGAACGUAUGAGCGAUGCAGCUGAAAGGUUGCAGGCCUGCGAAGGAGUUCAUACGAGGUGC
rnacentral:rRNA from 2 species